rnacentral:rRNA from 1 species
AGUUUGAUCCUGGCUCAGGACGAACGCUGGCGGCGUGCUUAACACAUGCAAGUCGAACGGAAAGGCCUCUUCGGAGGUACUCGAGUGGCGAACGGGUGAGUAACACGUGGGCAAUCUGCCCUGCACUUCGGGAUAAGCCUGGGAAACUGGGUCUAAUACCGGAUAGGACCUUUAGACGCAUGUCUUUUGGUGGAAAGCUUUUGCGGUGUGGGAUGGGCCCGCGGCCUAUCAGCUUGUUGGUGGGGUGAUGGCCCACCAAGGCGACGACGGGUAGCCGGCCUGAGAGGGUGUCCGGCCACACUGGGACUGAGAUACGGCCCAGACUCCUACGGGAGGCAGCAGUGGGGAAUAUUGCACAAUGGGCGCAAGCCUGAUGCAGCGACGCCGCGUGGGGGAUGACGGCCUUCGGGUUGUAAACCUCUUUCACCAUCGACGAAGGUCCGGGUUUUCUCGGAUUGACGGUAGGUGGAGAAGAAGCACCGGCCAACUACGUGCCAGCAGCCGCGGUAAUAC